GUACACGCUGUGACUAGCAUAUCAAUAAGCGGAGGAAAAGAAACUAACAAGGAUUCCCCUAGUAACGGCGAGUGAAGCGGGAAGAGCUCAAAUUUGAAAUCUUAAAGGGUUUCCCUUUACGAAUUGUAGUUUAAAGAAGUGUCUUCUGUUGAGGUUUUGGUAAAAGUUCUUUGGAAUAGGACAUCAUAGAGGGUGAGAAUCCCGUAUUUGACCUUUACUUUCAACUUUGUGAUACACUUUCAAAGAGUCGGAUUGUUUGGGAAUGCAGUCCAAAAUGGGUGGUAAAUUUCAUCUAAAGCUAAAUAUUGGCGAGAGACCGAUAGCGAACAAGUACCGUGAGGGAAAGAUGAAAAGAACUUUGAAAAGAGAGUUAAACAGUACGUGAAAUUGUCAAAAGGGAAGCGUUUGACACCAGUGUUGUUUUUCUGAAAAUCAAUUAAAGAACUGCUUAUGCUAAGUUGUUUAGACUUUAUCAGCUAACUGUUUAGUUUUGAGCUUUUCUUUAAUGCACUUUUCAGUUAACAAGUCAACAUCAAUUUCUUUUGCUGUAAAAAAGCUUGAGGAAGGUGGCUUGAGAUUCGUCUUAAGUGUUUAUAGCCUCUUGCCUAUGCAGUCGGAGAGAUUGAGGUCUGCAGCGUAGAUCCUUCGGGGCUAAAUGCAUUUGUGCUAAGUUAUAGCAUUUUAUAGACAACUUGUUGACUAUGAUUUGUCUUGUAGCUUACUCGCUUAUGUUAUUUUACCUACGCUUAGGAUGUUGACAGCAGUAUAGACUGU
rnacentral:rRNA from 1 species